rnacentral:rRNA from 1 species
UGGGGAAUAUUGCACAAUGGGCGCAAGCCUGAUGCAGCGACGCCGCGUGAGGGAUGACGGCCUUCGGGUUGUAAACCUCUUUCAGCAGGGAAGAAGCGCAAGUGACGGUACCUGCAGAAGAAGCGCUGGCUAACUACGUGCCAGCAGCCGCGGUAAUACGUAGGGCGCAAGCGUUGUCCGGAAUUAUUGGGCGUAAAGAGCUCGUAGGCGGUUUGUCGCGUCUGCUGUGAAAACGCGAGGCUCAAACUCGCGCCUGCAGUGGGUACUGGCAGACUAGAGUGCGGUAGGGGAGACUGGAAUUCCUGGUUUAGCGGUGGAAUGCGCAGAUAUCAGGAGGAACACCGGUGGCGAAGGCGGGUCUCUGGGCCGUAACUGACGCUGAUGAGCGAAAGCAUGGGGAGCGAACA